rnacentral:rRNA from 1 species
UAAAACAUGAACCUUAUGGACAUGUGCUUUUAUUAGGCUAAAACCAAGCGAUCGCAAGAUCGUUAUAUUGGUUGAACUCUAGAUAACAUGCAGAUCGUAUGGUCUUGUACCGACGACAGAUCUUUCAAAUGUCUGCCCUAUCAACUUUUGAUGGUAGUAUCUAGGACUACCAUGGUUGCAACGGGUAACGGGGAAUCAGGGUUCGAUUCCGGAGAGGGAGCCUGAGAAACGGCUACCACAUCUAAGGAAGCGAGGCGCGUAAAUUACCCACUCCCAGCUCGGGGAGGUAGUGACGAAAAAUAACAAUACAGGACUCAUAUCCGAGGCCCUGUAAUUGGAAUGAGUACACUUUUAAAUCCUUUAACAAGGACCAAUUGGAGGGCAAGUCUGGUGCCAGCAGCCGCGGUAAUUCCAGCUCCAAUAGCGUAUAUUAAAGUUGUUGCGGUUAAAACGUUCGUAGUUGAACUUGUGCUUCAUACGGGUAGUACAACUUACAAUUGUGGUUAGUACUAUACCUUUAUGUAUGUAAGCGUAUUACCGGUGGAGUUCUUAUAUGUGAUUAAAUACUUGUAUUUUUUUCAUAUGUUCCUCCUAUUUAAAAACCUGCAUUAGUGCUCUUAAACGAGUGUUAUUGUGGGCCGGUACUAUUACUUUGAACAAAUUAGAGUGCUUAAAGCAGGCUUCAAAUGCCUGAAUAUUCUGUGCAUGGGAUAAUGAAAAUAAGACCUCUGUUCUGCUUUCAUUGGUUUUCAGAUCAAGAGGUAAUGAUUAAUAGAAGCAGUUUGGGGGCAUUAGUAUUACGACGCGAGAGGUGAAAUUCUUGGACCGUCGUAAGACUAACUUAAGCGAAAGCAUUUGCCAAAGAUGUUUUCAUUAAUCAAGAACGAAAGUUAGAGGUUCGAAGGCGAUCAGAUACCGCCCUAGUUCUAACCAUAAACGAUGCCAGCUAGCAAUUGGGUGUAGCUACUUUUAUGGCUCUCUCAGUCGCUUCCCGGGAAACCAAAGCUUUUGGGCUCCGGGGGAAGUAUGGUUGCAAAGCUGAAACUUAAAGGAAUUGACGGAAGGGCACCACCAGGAGUGGAGCCUGCGGCUUAAUUUGACUCAACACGGGAAAACUUACCAGGUCCGAACAUAAGUGUGUAAGACAGAUUGAUAGCUCUUUCUCGAAUCUAUGGGUGGUGGUGCAUGGCCGUUCUUAGUUCGUGGAGUGAUUUGUCUGGUUAAUUCCGAUAACGAACGAGACUCAAAUAUAUUAAAUAGAUAUCUUCAGGAUUAUGGUGCUGAAGCUUAUGUAGCCUUCAUUCAUGUUGGCAGUAAAAUGCUUAUUGUGUUUGAAUGUGUUUAUGUAAGUGGAGCCGUACCUGUUGGUUUGUCCCAUUAUAAGGACACUAGCUUCUUAAAUGGACAAAUUGCGUCUAGCAAUAAUGAGAUUGAGCAAUAAACAGGUCUGUGAUGCCCUUAGAUGUCCUGGGCUGCACGCGCGCUACAAUGAAAGUAUCAACGUGUAUUUCCUAGACCGAGAGGUCCGGGUAAACCGCUGAACCACUUUCAUGCUUGGGAUUGUGAACUGAAACUGUUCACAUGAACUUGGAAUUCCCAGUAAGUGUGAGUCAUUAACUCGCAUUGAUUACGUCCCUGCCCUUUGUACACACCGCCCGUCGCUACUACCGAUUGAAUUAUUUAGUGAGGUCUCCGGACGUGAUCACUGUGACGCCUUGCGUGUUACGGUUGUUUCGCAAAAGUUGACCGAACUUGAUUAUUUAGAGGAAGUAAAAGUCGUAACAAGGUUUCCGUAGGUGAACCUGCGGAAG